GAAAUGCGAUAAGUAAUGUGAAUUGCAGAAUUCAGUGAAUCAUCGAAUCUUUGAACGCACCUUGCGCUCCUUGGUAUUCCGAGGAGCAUGCCUGUUUGAGUGUCAUGGAAUUCUCAACUCUAUUUGCUUUUGUGAAUAGAGCUUGGAUUUGGAGGUUUAUUGCUGGUACUUGUGAUCGACUCCUCUUGAAUGCAUUAGCUCGAACCUUUGCGGAUCAGCUAUCGGUGUGAUAAUUGUCUACGCCGUUGCAGUGAAGCAUAUCAAUGGGCUCGGCUUCCAAUCGUCCUUUACUGGACAAUGACUUUGACCUUUGACCUCAAAUCAGGUAGGAUUACCCGCUGAACUUAAGC
rnacentral:misc_RNA from 1 species